rnacentral:rRNA from 1 species
UGGCGACCGGCGCACGGGUGCGUAACGCGCAUGCAACCUACCUUUAACAGGGGGAUAACACUGAGAAAUUGGUACUAAUACCCCAUAAUAUCAUAGAAGGCAUCUUUUAUGGUUGAAAAUUCCGAUGGUUAGAGAUGGGCAUGCGUUGUAUUAGCUAGUUGGUGGGGUAACGGCUCACCAAGGCGACGAUACAUAGGGGGACUGAGAGGUUAACCCCCCACACUGGUACUGAGACACGGUCCAA